GUGGUAUCGCUUCUCCCUAG
rnacentral:siRNA from 1 species